CACAUGUGGCCCACCUCCUCAAGUACUCCAUGGAAAAGUGGAAGGAUCAGAUUACCGUUGGGGGUCCAGUAUAAGUUAUAAUUGUGCAGAGGGCUAUCAGUUAUCCAAUGCAGCUAUUCUUUCAUGUGAAGGACGAGGUGUAUGGAGGGGAGAUGUCCCACAAUGUCUCCCUGCAUUUUGUGGAGAUCUUGGUACUCCAGCUGAGGGGCGUCUUAAUGGGAAAAGUUUCACUUACAGAUCUGAAGUCUCCUUUAAGUGCCGACCCCCUUUUAUACUGAUAGGAUCUUCAAGAAGAGUCUGUCAAGCAGAUAGUGUUUGGAGUGGAAUUCAACCAACAUGUAUUGAUCCAGCCCAUAACACUUGCACAGAUCCUGGUACUCCACCUUAUCGAAUACAGAACAAUUCUAGGGGUUAUGACCUUCCCAAGCAGCCAGAACUUGCUGAACGUUCAAAAUCUCCUCAAACGUGUUUUGGGAUAUUUUUCCCCUGCAUUCUCCAGCCAGCCCUACAGAUGAGGAUGAGAACAAACCGAAGGAAACAAGCCAGCCGUGGGCAACUCCCCAUUCACCGCACCGGAGGGCUGCAGUGCUGCCUAACAGGGCUAAGUGGGGGAGAAAGAGCUGCCUUCACAAAUGCCCCAGUCACAGAGUCUCCACCAGCCGGUCCCAUUGGCUUCAUCUGGAUCCAGAGGAAACCUAGUUUGAUAAAUAAACGCUGCCCUGAGGCGCGCGUGGCAGGCUCCUUCAGUGAGCCAAGGCAGAAGGAUGGGAGCAACCAGCCCUGUAGUUGGUUUCUUGCUCUACCCUGGGCUUGUUAACAGCUUCAGUGGGAUGCAUCUAAUACAUUAGAAUCCCUUUGGUAAUAACCACGCCCUCACUCCCCCCGCCCUCCCCGAACACUCUUGCCCGGGCUGGCAGGUGGCUCCGUCACGUGGCAUAGGCAGCCGGAUUUCCCAGCUACGGGAAGUGUUUCCACCUACCUUGAUCUGUUCAUAUUCAGCAUCAGCAUCGUGGUCUUUGAGCUGUUUGUAAAAGAGCGGCACCAGCAGCUGGGAAAACUCUGGGCGCAUGCGGUGCUGUUUGAGACGAGAACGGGACACCCAGCUGAGAGCCACGGUUAUUCUUUGGUAACUAUUUAAAAACCCUCCCUUGGCCGUGGAUUAACUGUUUGCUCCACGUUUGUUACAGUUCUGCCUGCUUCGGGCUGGCGGCUGCCAGCCCUUUGGUGAAGGGAUUGGAGCCUUCCUCAAA